AGAAUGAAGAUGGCUUCCUGUCCCGCUAGCGUCACGUCGGGAUCUGCCUUCACCAAGGCCUUCACUCGCGCCAGAGGCAACCUCGAGAGACGAGCCCCAGGCACACUCGUUGGGGCCUGGGGCUGCGAGGCCGCUGCCUCCCCAGCAGGUCCCUCCUCCUCUCGGGGCGUCCCGCUUCCUGCCGCCGCCGCCGCCGCCAUCCCGGCCUUGAGCGUGCUGCGCGCGGCCGCCGACUGUGCGCGCGCAUGCGGCGCAGGCCCUUUCCCGCGCGGGCUGGAGGCCACACCCUGUGUAGGCGCGCGGCUCCGCCCCUACGCGGCAGUGCGCUGCCAGGAAACCGGGUGGGCGGGGGUCGGGCUCCGGCUCUUCCCACGCGCCUAGCCACCCGUGGGCUGUCGUGCACUUGGUUGACGCUACCGGCGACCCUCUGGCCCCGACGGGCCUGUGGAGCCCAGGCACCUCCCAUUGGUGCCUGUGCCUGGCUGGUGAGGGGAGAAAUCUAGACCAGGCUCGCAAGAGAGUCUCCGUCAAAACAGAGUGUGCAUAUUCCAAGGCUAACGAGGGCACGUGUCCGAGGGAGGCCCGGCCCUGGAGGGCCCAGCAUCGUGGAAGAGGGUGCCAAGGAGGCAGCGAAAUCUGGACCAAAUUCAAGGAUAACCAGUUAUAGAUGCUCUUGAAGGAGGGGUAGGGCUUUUGGCAGGCAGAAAUGAAGAAAUUCAGCCCAGCCAGAGGAAACAAGAAAAAGUCAUGGAGGCUAGAAAAGAUGAAAUUGUGGUGAGCAAUACAAGCAGCUGAGCGUCAGAGAUACAAGCAGCUGAGCGUCAGGGACACAAGAAGCUGGGCAUUGAGGAUACAAGCAGCUGAGCAUCAGGGAUACAAAUGGCUGAGCAGAGAAGCAACUGAGCAUCUAAGACUACAGACAGAUGUGGCUAACUUCAGACAGUGCAGCUUCAGGCAAAGAUCUUCUUCUCGCACCAUCCCCUUUCCAACUCCCCAU
rnacentral:lncRNA from 1 species